rnacentral:rRNA from 1 species
UACGUAGGAGACGAGCGUUGUCCGGAGUUACUGGGCGUAAAGGGUGCGCAGGCGGCCGUGUUUGUCAGGCGUGAAAGCCCCGGGCUCAACCUGGGAAUGGCCGUUGAAACUGGCGAACUGGAGUGUGGCAGAGGGGGGUGGAAUUCCGCGUGUAGCAGUGAAAUGCGUAGAGAUGCGGAGGAACACCGAUGGCGAAGGCAGCCCCCUGGGCUGACACUGACGCUCAGGCACGAAAGCGUGGGGAGCAAACAGG